rnacentral:lncRNA from 1 species
GGGGAUUGGUGAGGUGGAAUGGGGUGAAGUGGGUGGUUUGGGGUCGGGUUUGAUCUCAGCGACCAAUUGCCACGGUCAGGAGUCACGCGACCGCGGCAAACAGGUGCUUGGCCACGGUCAGAAUCACGCGACCGCGGUCGAAGAGGCGUUUCCCGCGGUCAGAACGUCUGCGACCGCGGGGGCUUAUUUCGCGGCCUCUUCAUGCUUCUUCUUGGUUUCUGCUGGGCCGAGCAGUCAGG